rnacentral:rRNA from 1 species
UACGUAGGGUGCGAGCGUUAAUCGGAAUUACUGGGCGUAAAGCGUGCGCAGGCGGUUUUGUAAGCCAGGUGUGAAAUCCCCGGGCUCAACCUGGGAAUGGCAUUUGGGACUGCAAGGCUGGAGUGCGGCAGAGGAGACUGGAAUUCCUGGUGUAGCAGUGAAAUGCGUAGAUAUCAGGAGGAACACCGAUGGCGAAGGCAGGCCUCUGGGCUGACACUGACGCUCAUGCACGAAAGCGUGGGGAGCAAACAGG